GUGGGACUUGGUUCUGAUCUUAUAACAUGAUGUAAAUUAAGGCUUACACAUGGUAUGAUUUAGUGUGGUGAGGAAAAUUAAUUUAAAUAACUAUUUUUAUGUAAAAUAGAAGUGGUUAUGGGGAUUUUUAAUAUUAUAGUAAUAAAUGAUGUUUAAAUUUUCACUAACACCAGUGUAAAAUUUUAGUCAAUAGAUGAGAGUCUGAACUAGGUUAGUUUUUAUAGUUGGUAAAUUUAGUGCCAGCAUCCGCGGUUAAACUAGAGACUUAAGUCAUGUAUGCUGUAGUAAUAAAGGUAAUUAGGCGUGAUAAGAGAAGGAGAAGUAUUUCAAGAGUUUUUAUUUAGAUGUAAAAUGUGUAAAUAAGGAUUUAUUUUAGUUGAAAUACUGCUUGGCUGAUGUUACGAUAUUUUUAAGGGAAACUAGGAUUAGAUACCCUAUUAUUUUUAAAUGUAAAUUAGUAUUGUUUACUUACUAGGGUACUACGAAUAAUAAUUUAAAACUCAAAGAACUUGGCGGUAUUUUAGACCACUUAGGGGAACCUGUUUCGUAAUCGAUAGUCCACGUUUCACCUGACCUUAUUUUGCGGAAGUUUGUAUACCGUCGUCGUCAGGCAACUUUUGAGAAGAAGAUAGUUGGCGGUAGUAAUGAUUUUGAUUAUGACGUCAGAUCAAGGUGCAGCUUAUAGUAUGGUGCUGAUGGGUUACAAUUAAAAAUUAUAAUACGGAGGAUUCACUGAAAAUUGUGUUUUUGAAGGAGGACUUAAAAGUAAAAGUAAUGAGUGACUUACUUUGAAUAGAUGGCUCUGAGAUGUGCACACAUCGCCCGUCGCUCUCGUUGAAAAAUGAGAUAAGUCGUAACAUAGUAGUGGUAAUGGAAAUUGCCUCUAGGAAGGA
rnacentral:ncRNA from 1 species